ACCUGGGGCUGGGGGGCUGCUGUGGGCUUUGGGCAGCUUCUAGCCAGUUAGGUGGAGAGAGAGAGUGUGUGUGCGUGUGUCUGUCUGACCACAGGUAGUACUCAGAUUACCCUGCCCUGUUCUGUUCUUUGCCAUCUGACCAGGACGGUGCUGCUCAGCCAGUCACAGCCCUGGAAUUUCCCAGGAGCUGGGGGAGCAUGGAAUUUGGACUUUUCCUGAACAACUGAAGCGGAGCUUGCCCAGCCCAGGAGAGCACCAUGGAUGGUGAACCACGGGGCAGCAACGGCAGCAAGCCCCCGAGGCUGGGAGACUCUCCGGACGUCAGGCUCCUUUCCAACCCAUUGAUGGGGGAUACUGUGUCUGAUUGGUCCCCUGUGCAUGAAGCAGCCAUUCAUGGACGUCUGCUGGCUUUGAGGAACCUCAUCAGCCAGGGGUGGCUUGUGAACCUCGUCACGGCAGAUCGUGUGUCCCCGCUCCAUGAAGCCUGUCUCGGAGGUCAUCCCUCCUGCGCAAACAUUUUAUUAAAGCAUGGAGCUCAGGUGAAUGGUGUUACUACAGACUGGCAUACUCCCCUGUUUAAUGCUUGUGUCAGCGGCAGCCUGGACUGUGUGAAUUUGCUUCUGCAGCACGGAGCUAGUCCCCACCCUGAGAGUGAUCUGGCGUCCCCCAUGCACGAAGCUGCUAAGAGAGGCCACGUGGAGUGCAUUGAGUCUCUUGUGGCUCAUGGGGGCGACGUUGACCGUAACAUCAGCCACCUGGGCACACCGUUAUAUUUGGCUUGUGAAAACCUGCAGGUGGCCUGUGCCAAGAAGCUUCUGGAAUCAGAACCCUCUCCCAGUGCUUUCGCAUCUGUGCUACUCCGGCUGCGUUGCCUUCUGUGCCUUCUGCACUGCUGCCAUGCUAGAGAACUGCUGCCUCUCUCCUGUGUUGGAUCUCCUGGGUCCUAUAUUCAAGGGUUUCUUCACUGGUAAAGCACACCCUGAACUGGCUUCCUAAUAACGAAUAUGAGAUGGUUGUGUUGCCCUGUGUUUAUUUUUAUUCACCGUUGGCCGGCAAAGCCUAGAGCAGUGGUUCACCUGUGGACUCUAAGCCUGCAUCGUCAUUAUCCCUUGAGAACUUGCUAGAAAUGCAAAUUCCACAACCCACCCCAGGUGUUUUAACAAGCCCUCCAGCUGAUCCUGAUGAACACUCAAGUUUGAGAGCUGCUGGGCUAGAGGUUGAGUUCAACUCGAGAAGCAAACGGACCAUGCUCUGCCGUCUUCUGUCUCCUCAGCUGCUGUUUCGUAUAUGAAACCAGAAGUUGCUGUCGCACCAGUCACAUCAUGGGCAUCCGCAGUCAGCAUCUUCCAUGUGACUCCAAAUCCUGUGCUCACUUGACCUACUGGGGUCCCAAAUAUCUACAAAGAAAGAGGUACUUGGGU